CCUACGGGUGGCAGCAGUGGGGAAUAUUGCACAAUGGGGGAAACCCUGAUGCAGCGACGCCGCGUGUGUGAAGAAGUAAUUCGUUAUGUAAAGCUCUAUUAGCAGGGAAGAAAAUGACGGUAUCUGAGUAAGAAGCCCCGGCUAACUACGUGCCAGCAGCCGCGGUAAUACGUAGGGGGCAAGCGUUAAUCGGAUUUACUGGGUGGAAAGGGAGCGUAGACGGCAGAGCAAGUCUGGUGUGAAAGGCGGGGGCUCAACCCGAGAACUGCAUUGGAAACUGUACGGCUGGAGUGUGGGAGAGGUAGGUGGAAUUCCUGGUGUAGGGGUAAAAUGCGUAGAGAUUAAGAGGAAUACCAGUGGCGAAGGCG
rnacentral:rRNA from 1 species